GACACGGACCAGACUCCUACGGGAGGCAGCAGUGAGGAAUAUUGGUCAAUGGGCGAGAGCCUGAACCAGCCAAGUCGCGUGAGGGAAGACGGCCCUACGGGUUGUAAACCUCUUUUGUCAGGGAGCAAGAACAGGCACGCGUGCCUGACUGAGAGUACCUGAAGAAAAAGCAUCGGCUAACUCCGUGCCAGCAGCCGCGGUAAUACGGAGGAUGCGAGCGUUAUCCGGAUUUAUUGGGUUUAAAGGGUGCGUAGGCGGACUGCCAAGUCAGCGGUAAAAUUGCGGGGCUCAACCCCGUCGAGCCGUUGAAACUGGUGGUCUUGAGUGGGCGAGAAGUACGCGGAAUGUGUGGUGUAGCGGUGAAAUGCAUAGAUAUCACGCAGAACUCCGAUUGCGAAGGCAGCGUACCGGCGCCCAACUGACGCUGAAGCACGAAAGCGUGGGUAUCGAACAGGAUUAGAUACCCUGGUAGUCCACGCAGUAAACGAUGAAUGCUAGCUGUCCGGGACGAAUGAGUCCUGGGUGGCACAGCGAAAGCGUUAAGCAUUCCACCUGGGGAGUACGCCGGCAACGGUGAAACUCAAAGGAAUUGACGGGGGCCCGCACAAGCGGAGGAACAUGUGGUUUAAUUCGAUGAUACGCGAGGAACCUUACCCGGGCUUAAAUUGCAGAUGAAUUACGGUGAAAGCCGUAAGCCGCAAGGCAUCUGUGAAGGUGCUGCAUGGUUGUCGUCAGCUCGUGCCGUGAGGUGUCGGCUUAAGUGCCAUAACGAGCGCAACCCCUACCGACAGUUGCUAACUGGUCAAGCAGAGGACUCUGUCGGGACUGCCGGCGCAAGCUGUGAGGAAGGCGGGGAUGACGUCAAAUCAGCACGGCCCUUACGUCCGGGGCGACACACGUGUUACAAUGGCAGGUACAGCGGGAAGCCACCUGGCGACAGGGAGCGGAACCCGAAAACCUGUCUCAGUUCGGAUUGGAGUCUGCAACCCGACUCCAUGAAGCUGGAUUCGCUAGUAAUCGCGCAUCAGCCAUGGCGCGGUGAAUACGUUCCCGGGCCUUGUACACACCGCCCGUCAAGCCAUGGGAGCCGGGGGUACCUGAAGUGCGUUACCGCAAGGAGCGCCCUAAGGUAAAACUGGUGACUGGGGCUAAGUCGUAACAAGGUAGCCGU
rnacentral:rRNA from 1 species